CAUAGGUUAAUGAGGCGAACCGGGGGAACUGAAACAUCUAAGUACCCCGAGGAAAAGAAAUCAACCGAGAUUCCCCCAGUAGCGGCGAGCGAACGGGGAGCAGCCCAGAGCCUGAAUCAGUGUGUGUGUUAGUGGAAGCGUCUGGAAAGGCGCGCGAUACAGGGUGACAGCCCCGUACACAAAAAUGCACAUACUGUGAGCUCGAUGAGUAGGGCGGGACACGUGGUAUCCUGUCUGAAUAUGGGGGGACCAUCCUCCAAGGCUAAAUACUCCUGACUGACCGAUAGUGAACCAGUACCGUGAGGGAAAGGCGAAAAGAACCCCGGCGAGGGGAGUGAAAAAGAACCUGAAACCGUGUACGUACAAGCAGUGGGAGCACGCUUAGGCGUGUGACUGCGUACCUUUUGUAUAAUGGGUCAGCGACUUAUAUUCUGUAGCAAGGUUAACCGAAUAGGGGAGCCGAAGGGAAACCGAGUCUUAACUGGGCGUUAAGUUGCAGGGUAUAGACCCGAAACCCGGUGAUCUAGCCAUGGGCAGGUUGAAGGUUGGGUAACACUAACUGGAGGACCGAACCGACUAAUGUUGAAAAAUUAGCGGAUGACUUGUGGCUGGGGGUGAAAGGCCAAUCAAACCGGGAGAUAGCUGGUUCUCCCCGAAAGCUAUUUAGGUAGCGCCUCGUGAAUUCAUCUCCGGGGGUAGAGCACUGUUUCGGCAAGGGGGUCAUCCCGACUUACCAACCCGAUGCAAACUGCGAAUACCGGAGAAUGUUAUCACGGGAGACACACGGCGGGUGCUAACGUCCGUCGUGAAGAGGGAAACAACCCAGACCGCCAGCUAAGGUCCCAAAGUCAUGGUUAAGUGGGAAACGAUGUGGGAAGGCCCAGACAGCCAGGAUGUUGGCUUAGAAGCAGCCAUCAUUUAAAGAAAGCGUAAUAGCUCACUGGUCGAGUCGGCCUGCGCGGAAGAUGUAACGGGGCUAAACCAUGCACCGAAGCUGCGGCAGCGACGCUGAUGCGUUGUUGGGUAGGGGAGCGUUCUGUAAGCCUGUGAAGGUGUGCUGUG
rnacentral:rRNA from 1 species